rnacentral:rRNA from 1 species
GACGAACGCUGGCGGCGUGCUUAACACAUGCAAGUCGAACGGAAAGGCCCUGCUUUUGUGGGGUGCUCGAGUGGCGAACGGGUAAGUAACACGUGAGUAACCUGCCCUUGACUUUGGGAUAACUUCAGGAAACUGGGGCUAAUACCGGAUAGGAGCUCCUGCUGCAUGGUGGGGGUUGGAAAGUUUCGGCGGUUGGGGAUGGACUCGCGGCUUAUCAGCUUGUUGGUGGGGUAGUGGCUUACCAAGGCUUUGGCGGGUAGCCGGCCUGAGAGGGUGACCGGCCACAUUGGGACUGAGAUACGGCCCGGCCUCCUACGGGAGGCAGCGGUGGGGAUUAUUGCACAAUGGGCGGAAGCCGGAUGCGGCAACGCCGCGGGCGGGAUGACGGCCUUCGGGUUUUAACCCGCUUUCGCCUGUGACGAAGCGUGAGUGACGGUAAUGGGUAAAGAAGCACCGGCUAACUACGUG